rnacentral:tRNA from 1 species
CAUAAAGUAGUUUAAUGCAAAACGUGAAAUUGCAAAUUUUAAGAUGCCCAAGAAAUUGGCCUUUAUGU